GAGCCCGUGAGGAUGCCCGUAGUCUCUUACCCAGAAACAAGGAGCCGAUAUCAGGCACACACCCGCACUGCCCACGACAUCUUGCUUUGCCACGCCCCCAAGGGAACUCAGCAGUGAUAAACAUUAAGCGAUGAGCGAAAGCUCGACUUAAUUAGGGCUAACAGGGCCGGUAAAACUCGUGCCAGCCACCGCGGUUAUACGAGAGGCCCAAGUUGAUAGUAUUCGGCGUAAAGAGUGGUUAAACUAGACUUAAACUAAAGCCGAACUCCCUCAUGGCUGUUAUACGCACCCGAGGGUAAGAAGCCCCUCCACGAAAGUGGCUUUAAUAAUUUUGACCCCACGAAAGCUGAGAAACAAACUGGGAUUAGAUACCCCACUAUGCCCAGCUGUAAACAUUGAUAGCACAAAUACACAAGCUAUUCGCCCGGGUACUACGAGCACCAGCUUAGAACCCAAAGGACUUGGCGGUGCUUAAGACCCCCCUAGAGGAGCCUGUUCUGGAACCGAUACCCCCCGUUAAACCUCACCUUCCCUGGCUAAUCCCGUCUAUAUACCGCCGUCGUCAGCUUACCCCCUGAGGGGUCCACAGUAAGCAAGAUUAGUAAAACUCAAAACGUCAGGUCGAGGUGUAACGUAUGGGAAGGUUAGAAAUGGGCUACAUUCCUUGUUCCCAAGGAAAACGGAUAAUGACAUGAAAUAUUCAUUUGAAGGAGGAUUUAGCAGUAAGUGGAAAGCAGAGCGUUCCACUGAAGUUGGCCCUAAAGCGCGCACACACCGCCCGUCAUUCUCCCCAAGCUUAUUAAACCCUUAUAACUAAGAAACCGAGACUAGUAAAGGGGAGGCAAGUCGUAACAUGGUAAGUGUACCGGAAGGUGUACUUGGUAGAAAC
rnacentral:ncRNA from 1 species